UCUGGAUUGUUACCAGAUUGUUUGGAAAGGGGUGGUGACCUCUGGAUUGUUACUGGAUUGUUGGGAAGGGGUGGUGACCUCUGGAUUGUUACUGGAUUGUUGGGAAGGGGUGGUGACCUCUGGAUUGUUACUGGAUUGUUGGGAAGGGGUGGUGACCUCUGGAUUGUUAGUGGAUUGUUGGAAAGGGUGGUGACCUCUGGAUUGUUACUGGAUUGUUGGGAAGGGGUGGUGACCUCUGGAUUGUUACUGGAUUGUUGGGAAGGGGUGGUGACCUCUGGAUUGUUAGUGGAUUGUUGGGAAGGGGUGGUGGCCUCUGGAUUGUUAGUGGAUUGUUGGGAAGGGUGGUGACCUCUGGAUUGUUACUGGAUUGUUGGGAAGGGGUGGUGGCCUCUGGAUUGUUAGUGGAUUGUGGGAAGGGGUGGUGACCUCUCGGUCGUUGCCGUGGACUCUCUAAACUGUCAAGGCACGGGGGGACGGCUUACACCAGUGCGCAAUGAGGUCCCCCAGGGAUCACCUUCCUGGCCAUCUG
rnacentral:lncRNA from 1 species